UGCGCAGGCGGGCUUGUAAGUCAGUGGUGAAAUUCUGCCGCUUAACGGUAGAACUGCCAUUGAUACUGCAAGUCUUGAAUAUGGUUGAGGUAGGCGGAAUGCGUUGUGUAGCGGUGAAAUGCAUAGAUAUGACACAGAACGCCAAUUGCGAAGGCAGCUUACUAAGCCAUUAUUGACGCUGAGGCACGAAAGCGUGGGGAGCGAACAGGAUUAGAUACCCUGGUAGUCC
rnacentral:rRNA from 1 species